rnacentral:lncRNA from 15 species
GGGGACGUAUUAACAUGGCCACGGAUUUGGAAAAAGCUAGAUGCCAUAACACCAAAUAAAUACCUCUUUAAUUUUGACUGCAGUGGAACAGUAUAAAAAUGAACGUUUGUUUUCUGAUGCAGCUGACACCGGAUGCGCCUCAGAGGCAUCUUUUCACCUUAAAGGACGGACUGUUUUUGGUGCAUAGCUGGAGCCCCCCAUAGCGGCUCUUACAAACGGGGCCACUCUCCCUAUUCACCGAGAGAGGGGAGAGCGCUGCUCGUGGAGGAGGAGAGGGGUUGGAGGGGAGGAGGAGGAGGAGGAGGAGGAGGGGGAGGAGGAGGGUGGGAUGGGGUUGGUGGGGUUGGGGUGGGGGGGCGAGCGAUGGAGGAAGGAGGGGAGGGUGGGAGAGGAGAAACGUGUAAUCACCCAAACAACCAUUUUUACCCAUUUCACCCCCUCUGGAUCUGUGUCGCAAGGUAAGAAAAAGGCUACUUGGCUUCUAUACUGGCCCUCUCUGCAUCAUAAACUACAUCGGCUGACUUCUGUAAGAACUCCUCUCCCCCUUUUCUCUCACACUCUGCAGUCUGCCGUGAGCUUAUCUGUCUUUCACUGCGGAUACCGUGAAGGGAGGCCGGACCGUGAGGGAGACGCCAAGAGAAUUGGCACUUUGGAGGAAAGUCCAUGCAAAACAUCUCCAUCUAUCAUGCUGGCUGGGUUUCCACAGCAGUGUUAUUGACAUAGUAAAUUAAAGGAGGCACACAUCAGGUAGCUGACGGAUCGGAGACAUCAACAGCAAACUUAUAAUCGCAGCUCUGUCACAGUGGGUGAGUUUCUCUCUAUUUUUUUUUACGUCCAUACUUCUCAUUUACUUCUGCCUCUACACUCUGUAAUUCCCUUCUCCAUUCUAUUUUAUGUACAUCUAAAAAAAGUAUGCCCUACUUUAUUGGGUGUGUAUUUCCUCGUAUUUACCUGAAAGCAUGCAUUUGUUGAGCAUAAAUAUUCAGUUUUAUUGGAUCUGGAAAAGGAUAAAAUACUACUACUCUUCAUUUUCUAAAUUUGCCACAAGGUAUUCAGUUUAUUUAUUUAUACUUUUAUUUUGUUAAGCAGGAUUAUUGGUAUUUUUGGUAUCUAAUAUUAUUUUUUACUGGUGUGUCUUUUCCUGUUUUCUCAAGUUGUUCCUUCCUACUUAAUUUAAACAUUGUUGAUUAAUAAAUGUGAAAAUUCAUGAAUAGUUAUGUAAGAAAAGAAGAAACUUUUCAAUUUAGGUAAAAAAAAAAGUAAGGAAAGUCUGCCCCUCUGCAUGUCAAUACUUGACCUUCCUGUGUUUUACAUUUUCUGCAGUGAAAAGCUUCUUAGUUUUUCCACUUUUAUAAAUUUCCCCCUAAAACCUCAGCUCAGGAAUGCCAUGUGAAGACAUCUGUUUUAGCCCUGUCUGUUGCUGUAUGUGAUUAUUAAGAGGAAUUACCGGUGUCAAAUCCAAUACUGGUGUCUUUCUUUUACAAGAGAUUAUGAAUUAUAUGUCGUGACUGCACUAUGACACAAGGCCUUUCAUUUGGCUUAUGCUCUGAAACAUGUUCAAAAAGUUUUAGAAGAGUAUUUAAGGACAGAGAGAUGAGUGUGGUCUCCUUAUGACAGAGUAGUUAUUGGACAUGAAAAGUGGAAUCACUGUAAAGAUGUUUGCUGUUUAUUAUAUUAUCAUGUUGUGCAACAUCAUUCGGCCUGAGCAGAAUAUUGUUUUGUUUCCUGUUUGAAACAAGAGUGGGGACUGAAAAACUUUUUGGAACUAAGGAGAUGCAUCAGUGAGAGACUUGGAAAAAAUGCUACUUCUAUGUUAGAGCCUGGAUCCUCUAAAUGGCAUGGCAAACUGCCCCGGUUACCAUGGCUAUGAGGGGGUUUGAGAGCACAUUAAUCAUGAGGAUUUAGGUUUCUUUCUCUUUUAUUUUUCCAAAAAGACACAGAAUCGCUCAGACGUCCUUUAUGAAGCUGAUUUAUGAUGUUCAAUAUCUGUGUGUGUAGAUCAUGGGAAAUGACUCUGAAAGGUAACAGUUUAUGAGCGAGGGAGGAGAGCAGCGUGUAGUCUCUGUCAGCAGACUGCUUUUGUUGUUGAAUGUGUGUUUAAGUGGAAAAUAGCAAAGUUAGCAGUGGAAAGAAGGAUUUGAUCUGCAGCAAAGAGACAGGAAUCUAUGUCAAUUAAUUAUGCCAGAUCUCACAGCAUUUGGAUUAUUAUACACAUUACCUAUGUUUCUAAAGGUUUAUGCUGUGACAUGAGUGGAUAUUAAUGUGUGAACAGGGGCUACAGGGAUGCAGGUUUUAUAGCUUAAUGAAGAUUAAAUGUCUUGGAAAAGCUUUGGCAUCAAAAGGUGUAUUAAUUUGCUACAAUGGCCACAUUUGGCACUUAACCAGCCCCUUGUUAAUUGUGCAAUCUGGAAGUAGUAGAUGAUGUCUGUUGUGGCUGCACCCAGACUGUCUAGAGUAAAUGGACUCUUUGUGCCCACACAUUUUACCUAUGACAGACAGGCAGCUGAUAAAAAUGAGAUCAUGCAUAAAGAAGUAUCACUCUUGCUGUUGUGUUACUUUCAGUAGCGAUCUUUUCCCUCUUCGUCUUUGGUCAGAGACAGCAGAUUGAUGACGGCGUGACAGAGUGACAUUGCAUUCUGGGAACCCAGGACUAUGGCGAUAAAUCCAUGGCGAUUCAGCUUUACAAUGGCCUACUGUCUAGCCAUCAGAGGGUAGGAGGUUGUUACUGCAUCACCCUAGUGAGCUGCUAGGGUACAACCAUUAUGCUUUCUUGAGGGGGGAAAGGGGGAAACCAGGGGAAAUAGUGAGGAUGGUAAUGAAUUAUGAAAAUCUAAUAGAAUGAAAAAGAAGAAGGGGAGAGAGAAAAACUUCUUUGGUGAGUGGAAAUUUCCCACGCUCUUUAGACGUUAAAUCGCUAUGAUUCUUUUCAAGAAGAUCUGUCAAAUCGGAGCCUCGGCUGUAUUAGAAAGCAAAUAAAACACAUGAACAAAUAAACACUCCAAGUUUCUUAUUGACCUUGGAGAACCAGCUGUGUUGUGAGUGCAGCUCAACUUGGCUGUCCGCACCCUCCCUCGAUUCUGCUGAGAGAGAGUGUGUGUGUGUGUGUGUGUGUGUGCGCGUGUGUGCGUAUGUGUGUGAGCAGAAUAGAGCUCUUGAGUAUAAGGGUGUGUUUUUGUUCAGACUGCAUGCGUUUGUGUGUGUCUUUGUGUGCAUGCACAAUAAAUGUCUGCAGCGAUGUAAUUCGAUUGCUUAAAAACAAGCACCAAACUUAUUGAUAAUUCCCAUGAAGUCCCAGCUGGCCACUUGCAGGCUUGGGAUACAAGUUUGAGAGGUCAAAUAUGUUUCGUUGUUCUUUCACUGGGCUAUAUGUAGAAAAAAC